rnacentral:rRNA from 1 species
AGCGAACGCUGGCGGCAGGCUUAACACAUGCAAGUCGAGCGCCCCGCAAGGGGCGCGGCAGACGGGAGAGUAACACGUGGGAACAUACCUUUUGGUUCGGAACAACUGAGGGAAACUUCAGCUAAUACCGGAUAAGCCCUUACGGGGAAAGAUUUAUCGCCGAAAGAUUGGCCCGCGUCUGAUUAGCUAGUUGGUGAGGUAACGGCUCCCCAAGGCGGCGAUCAGUAGCUGGUCUGAGAGGAUGAUCAGCCUCACUGGGACUGAGACACGGCCCAGACUCCUACGGGAGGCAGCAGUGGGGAAUAUUGGACAAUGGGGGCAACCCUGAUCCAGCCAUGCCGCGUGAGUGAUGAAGGCCUUAGGGUUGUAAAGCUCUUUUGCCCGGGAAGAUAAUGACGGUACCGGGAGAAUAAGCCCCGGCUAACUUCGUG